CUUGGUCAUUUAGAGGAAGUAAAAGUCGUAACAAGGUUUCCGUAGGUGAACCUGCGGAAGGAUCAUUACCAGGCCUUGGGCCGCCAGCGGGGUCCCGUCGUUCUCGCGACGACGGGCCCUCGCGGGUGCUUAGCCCUUGACUCUUACCUUGACUAUGCGCACCUUUGUUGUUCCCUCGGCAGGUCUCCUGCCGCUAGGGACCUCAUCAACCCUUUAGCAUAAGCAUAAAACGUCUGAAAACAAAUUUAAUUAUUUACAACUUUCAACAAUGGAUCUCUUGGUUCUGGCAUCGAUGAAGAACGCAGCGAAAUGCGAUAAGUAGUGUGAAUUGCAGAAUUCAGUGAAUCAUCGAAUCUUUGAACGCACAUUGCGCCCCUUGGUAUUCCAUGGGGCAUGCCUGUUCGAGCGUCAUUUACACCCUCAAGCUCAGCUUGGUGUUGGGCGUCUGUCCCGCUUCGUGCGUGGACUCGCCCCAAAGGUAUUGGCAGCGGUCCUUGCCAGCUUCUCGCGCAGCACAUUGCGCUUCUCGAGGCUGGCGGAUCGGCGUCCAUCAAGCCCACUUCCACAGUUUGACCUCGGAUCAGGUAGGGAUACCCGCUGAACUUAAGCAUAUCAAUAAGCGGAGGA
rnacentral:rRNA from 1 species